ACUUGAGGAAUUUAACCAAAGAUUCUAGAGCGGAGCAAGAUAGAUCAGUUACGUCAUAGGCAUGAAGUACGCUCUGAGCCUGACAGGGCGCCAUUUUCAUAAGCUCAGCGCAAAAUUUCAUAUACAGUUCCAAUUCUAUGAGCCCACCUGAACAGCUGUUUUUAACGUUGCCAGCUGUUUUUUUUUUCUUUCUCGGUAAUGAACUGCAAGAACUGACAGUGUGAAAGGCCCGAUUGAUCUUUUUCCAAGUUUACACUGAAAAAGGAGAGGUAAAUAAGCCUAUUAUUUAGACAGAAGUAGCUAUUGCACUGGUAAAUAGAUCACAUAAAUUCCAAUUGAGAGACUGUAUAGCCUACUGAUAAGCUAGCAGGCAAACUAACUUAGCUAACGUUAUAUUAUCACCAUUUUUCUUUUUUCUACCUGUAGGCUAUAAGUUAACCCUUUGUUCACGGCCUGCUUAAACACAGCGCAUAAGAUAGUC